rnacentral:rRNA from 1 species
CCUACGGGCGGCAGCAGUGGGGAAUAUUGGACAAUGGGGGGAACCCUGAUCCAGCCAUGCCGCGUGUGUGAAGAAGGCCCUCGGGUUGUAAAGCACUUUCAGUGAGGAAGAACGCCUGGUGGUUAAUACCCAUCAGGAAAGACAUCACUCACAGAAGAAGCACCGGCUAACUCCGUGCCAGCAGCCGCGGUAAUACGGAGGGUGCGAGCGUUAAUCGGAAUUACUGGGCGUAAAGCGCGCGUAGGUGGCUUGAUAAGCCGGUUGUGAAAGCCCCGGGCUCAACCUGGGAACGGCAUCCGGAACUGUCAAGCUAGAGUGCAGGAGAGGAAGGUAGAAUUCCCGGUGUAGCGGUGAAAUGCGUAGAGAUCGGGAGGAAUACCAGUGGCGAAGGCGGCCUUCUGGACUGACACUGACACUGAGGUGCGAAAGCGUGGGUAGCAAACAGGAUUAGAUACCCUAGUAUC